rnacentral:rRNA from 1 species
UACGGGGGGGGCAAGCGUUGUUCGGAAUUACUGGGCGUAAAGGGCUCGUAGGCGGCCAACUAAGUCAGACGUGAAAUCCCCAGGCUUAACCUGGGAACUGCGUCUGAUACUGGGAGGCUAGAGUGCGGGAGAGGGAUGCGGAAUUCCAGGUGUAGCGGUGAAAUGCGUAGAUAUCUGGAGGAACACCGGUGGCGAAGGCGGCAUCCUGGACCGACACUGACGCUGAGGCGCGAAAGCUAGGGUAGCAAACGGG